rnacentral:lncRNA from 1 species
UCAUCUCUGACUUGGUCCCCAACACAGGGCCAGGGCUAUGUAGACAGGGGCUAGACUUUAUUGUUCACAGAAUAAUAGCAAGAAACAAAAGUCUGUACAUGUUUGGUAGAGAUGCAGUUUUUUCCCAAAUAUUUUUAUCAAGUCAGGUGUGGUGGCACAUGCUUGUAAUCCCAGUACACAGGAGGGUGAGGCAGGAGGAUCACAAGUUCUAGGCCAGCCUGAACUGUAUAGCAAGACGCUGUCUCAGAACAACAACAACAAAAGCAUUGAAUGGGCAGAUUCAGAACCCAGGAACCCAUGGGUGUGAGGGGUCAAAGUAUUUCCCCUCCUAAGCUGCUCUGAUGAUGAAAACCACAUUACCAGGCUUCAUCUCUGUGACACAUCCACUUCCAAAAUAGAACUGUCUUCUCUCCCUUCUCCGUUCUGCAAAGGAAAGAACUUUCCUAGGAUGAAAUAACUGGCAUAGAUUGCAUUCCUGUUCAGACGCUGGCCAUCCCAGGCCUGUGUAAGGAUCCAUGUCCGCCUUAUUGAGAUUGAGGAAGGGCCACAGGACUGGCCCAGUGGCCUGGAAGGGCUGUGAGUGGCUGCGCCUGGCCGUUGGUCAGCCAGAGUCACAGGGUGGGUCAGACACUGGUAGAGCAGCAGCCAGCGGCAACCGACAGAGCGGGAGAGAAAUGAACACGGAUCGCUGUGAACCAGGAGAUUCCCAGAUCGGUUGAGCAGCACGAUUUAGACUAAACUGAUGGGUACGAUUUUAAACCCACCACUCAAACAUUGCCCCCUUUCAGACUCUGGUGUGUAUCUUUCCAGAAAUUCUUACAUGCAAAUGAACAUACUUAUACAGUCUUACCAGGGUCUUGCAUUGGAGCCUUAUUUUAUCUAAUAUGUGGUGGCCGUCUUUCCUUGUCAAUUUUAUGACUGUGUCCUGCUUUUUAGUUUUUUUUGGUUUUUAGCUCACUGUGUAGCCAGGUUGGUCUUGAUCUUGUGAUCCUCCUGCUUCAGCCUCCCCAGUGCUGGGAUUAUAGGCAUGCA